UAUGAAGGGGGCUAGCGUUGUUCGGAUUUAUUGGGCGUAAAGCGCACGUAGGCGGUUGGAUAAGCCCUCCGUGAAAUCUCCAGGCUUAACCUGGAAAGUGCAGAGGGGACUGUUCAGCUAGAGGAUGGGAGAGGAGCGCGGAAUUCCCGGUGUAGCGGUGAAAUGCGUAGAGAUCGGGAGGAAGGCCGGUGGCGAAGGCGGCGCUCUGGAACAUUCUGACGCUGAGGCUCGAAAGCGUGGGGAGCAAACAGG
rnacentral:rRNA from 1 species